rnacentral:lncRNA from 1 species
AAUUUGUGAGAUCAAAGCUCAUUCCAAGUGAGUUUUGGUAGAGAAUUUCCUUAGGUACUAAGGGAAUUUGGGUGUAUUGGGUAUUGAAUUUUUUAGAGUUUUUCAACUUUUGUAAAGUCCCAUUAUUAGUAAAAUUAUUUUCCAGUUUUUGCCCGUAAAUGUAGGCUUUAGGCCGAACCAUGUAAAAUUAUUGUGUCUUUUUUUAUUUUUACAUUUGUUUACAUCAUAUUUAUAUUUCUCUAAAAAUUGCAGUCACCGUAAUAUCAGUAAUUACUCAACCCGCACUUCCGCAACAGUUCUUUGUAAAAUGGGCUAGCAUCGUCUCAUGAUCUAAGGCUCCAGUAUGGAGAACCUUUUGGUGAAAACAGUUAAACAAAAUAUUGGUAACAUCGUCUCCCCUUACUUGAUAAAAGCUAGCUUAUAAGAGGACUUAUCUUGGUGACAGGCAUAGCUGAACUCUUGAAUGAAUUUAGAGAGCAGUUGUUGUAUGUUAGCUAUACUCCCUAGCUUUAGAGAUUGAAACCAAGACUUGGCUGGCCCAUGAGGAUAUGGGUGAACAUGCGGCACACAACUUUUUUCCCAACUCUUUUUAUAAGCAACUACUCCCAAUAUAACUCAGCAUGCUCGGUGGGGUCAAAGAUACACCCAUAUUAUGGAAUCUGAGAUAUUUUGAAGUCGGUUAGGAGAGCUGCUUGGCGAAUUUCCUUCGUGAAUGACACUAACAAACGAUCAGCGCUUGAUCCUUAGCGAUGGAGAUUUCUUUCUCGGUCAGUUUUCAAACUUGUUCCUCUAGAAUAGAAAUCUUGUCAAGAAUUUCUUUAGGUAUCUUAUGAUUUCUGGAGAAACCCUUCCCAUUCUAAGGAGAUCUCUUAGCAUUGAGCUUCUCUCGUAAAUGUUCGAUCGACUGUUUGCCACAUUUUCGGCCCCCUUACUGACACUAGAUUGACUAUUAGCAAUAAAUCUUUUAUCCUUAGAGCAAACGGGCUGUGCUUUUGAUCUAUUCGUGGCGAAGUUGAGCUGUUUGCUGCUUCGGGGACCUCUUGUUGUUGGACAUCAACCUUUUCGCCAUGAGCUUGUGCGGAGGCUUAUUUGCUUAGACCACUGUCCAGAUAUUGAGUCUACAAGCCAAUAGCACCUUCAUUUCUUGGUUUGAAAUCAAAUAUGCGAUUUUAAACCUUUCUUUUUCUUUUUUUUUUUUUAAUGUAAAAACAGAUAAGUUUACCGGUUCAAUUGGUCUUGGAUCCAACCAAAAAGAAAUCACUUGCUUUAAAAUAUUUUAAACUAUUGUAUGUUUCGACUUUUGGACCGAUUUGGCCACUGUUUACCAUUUUGAAACUAGCCUUUUUCGUUUUUCAAAUAUAGAAAAAGCAAAAAACUUAAUAUGAUUUGUUUUUAGUAGUGUAUGAAAUCUGUUCCGAAUAAAUAGUUUUCAUUUCUUAUUCCUUCUUCCUAAAAGUGGGAAACAAAAAAAUGGUUAGUAUUAUUUUUCAAAAGGUAUUUGUGCAUCUUUUUUCUUAUAUAAAACAAAUAAAC